rnacentral:tRNA from 1 species
GGAGAGGUACGAAAGUGGCUUAAUCGGCCUGCCUGGAGAGCAGGUGUACGCAUUCGCGUACCGUGGGUUCGAAUCCCACCCUCUCCGCCA